rnacentral:rRNA from 1 species
UAGGGAAUCUUCGGCAAUGGGGGCAACCCUGACCGAGCAACGCCGCGUGAGUGAAGAAGGUUUUCGGAUCGUAAAGCUCUGUUGUAAGAGAAGAACGUGUGUGAGAGUGGAAAGUUCACACAGUGACGGUAACUUACCAGGAAGGGACGGCUAACUACGUGCCCGA